rnacentral:rRNA from 1 species
UACGAAGGGGGCUAGCGUUGCUCGGAAUCACUGGGCGUAAAGCGCACGUAGGCGGAUUGCUAAGUCAGGGGUGAAAUCCUGGAGCUCAACUCCAGAACUGCCUUUGAUACUGGUGAUCUUGAGUCCGGAAGAGGUGAGUGGAACUCCGAGUGUAGAGGUGAAAUUCGUAGAUAUUCGGAAGAACACCAGUGGCGAAGGCGGCUCACUGGUCCGGUACUGACGCUGAGGUGCGAAAGCGUGGGGAGCAAACAGG